GACGAACGCUGGCGGCGUGCUUAACACAUGCAAGUCGAACGGAAAGGCCCUGCUUUUGUGGGGUGCUCGAGUGGCGAACGGGUGAGUAACACGUGAGUAACCUGCCCUUGACUUUGGGAUAACUUCAGGAAACUGGGGCUAAUACCGGAUAGGAGCUCCUGCUGCAUGGUGGGGGUUGGAAAGUUUCGGCGGUUGGGGAUGGACUCGCGGCUUAUCAGCUUGUUGGUGGGGUAGUGGCUUACCAAGGCUUUGACGGGUAGCCGGCCUGAGAGGGUGACCGGCCACAUUGGGACUGAGAUACGGCCCAGACGCCUACGGGAGGCAGCAGUGGGGAAUAUUGCACAAUGGGCGGAAGCCGGAUGCAGCAACGCCGCGUGCGGGAUGACGGCCUUCGGGUUGUAAACCGCUUUCGCCUGUGACGAAGCGUGAGUGACGGUAAUGGGUAAAGAAGCACCGGCUAACUACGUGC
rnacentral:rRNA from 1 species